rnacentral:rRNA from 1 species
UACAGAGGGGGCAAGCGUUAUUCGGAAUUAUUGGGCGUAAAGGGUGCGUAGGCGGGUCUUUAAGUCAGGGGUGAAAUCCUGGAGCUCAACUCCAGAACUGCCUUUGAUACUGAAGAUCUUGAGUUCGGGAGAGGUGAGUGGAAACUGCGAGUGUAGAGGUGAAAAUUCGUAGAUAUUCGCAAGAACACCAGUGGCGAAGGCGGCUCACUGGCCCGAUACUGACGCUGAGGCACGAAAGCGUGGGGAGCAAACAGG